rnacentral:misc_RNA from 1 species
CCGAAUUGUCAACACGAGUUGUUGCUGGUCCUCAAAUGGGGACAUGUGCACGCUCUGUUUACACAUCCACUCACACCUGUGCACCCUCUGUAGUUCUGUGGCUGGGGGACUUUGUCCUCCUGCUGUGGUUCUAUGUCUUUACACACACUCUGUAUUAAAGUCUCAUGGAAUGUACACUGCGUUUAACGCAAUACAAUA